AGCAACACUUAUGCUAUAGUCGGAACAAGAACGAUACAGAGAUGGUGAGUAUGGUCCCUGUGCAAGGAUGACACGCAAAUUUGUGAAGCAGUACAUAUUUUU
ensembl:snRNA U6 U6 spliceosomal RNA